CAGGUUUUCCCCCAGGGAGUUCACGUGCUCCCUGAUGGCUGGACUGUGGUUCUCAGCUUGCGGCAUCACGUCCUUCAGGUAAAACUGGAUCAUCUCCGACAAGGCUUGGCAUCCCAGGUUACCGUAUGAAACCAGACACAGCUGUAUCCACUGAUCACCUCAUGUCGGUUUUACAGAGAAGAGAACUAAAUGUACAAGAGGUUCAAUAACUUUAUCAAGGUCAUGCAGCCAAUUCACGAUGGAGCCAGGGCUUAAAUCCAGGUCUACAACUGUGGUUCAUCAACAAAGAGCUCAAAGCAGCUUGGCUUAGCCCACAACAAAGCGGCGAGCUGGAUGCUGGGACAGGGAGGUGGCUACAGGACUCAGGCCGUUAAGCAGGGAGUGGGAUAGGAAGUGGAGCAGCUGGGACUCGCACCUAAGGGCUCUCAGCAUCACAGGUAGUGGCUUAACCCACUAGGCCACGAGUCCAGUCCCUCACACGUGCUAAAUUCGACUUUUGGGGAUGGAGUCUGGGGAGCUGUUUGAAGUGCCACAGAAUUAUGGAGCGAUCAGUCCAGCAUCAUUUCAGUGAAUGGCGUUGGAAGUCCCUGAGGGAACCACAGGGACACAGCCAACUAUGUGAAAUCCACGGGCGCUUCGAGCAUAUUGAACUGUGGGUUGCUUAACACUUCCACCUGUUUGCCAGCUUUGCACCCAGCCUUGGAAGUCACAAGGCAGAGUUGGCUGACAGCUGUCCCAGCCAUGGCCAAGAGGGUCCCUGAGGGGCCGGCGAACCGUGAGGUCCUUCCCCACUCAGGCAUCCCUGGCUUCAGCGCUAACCUUUUUGGAUUGCGCUGUUCUCAGUCUUCGUCAGAACACCCCAGGCUGAGUGCCUGGGAACGCUUUGGGUAGUGAGAGGCUGAGGGUGACUAGAGACAGGAGGAACUCGGGUGCACGAGGGCUGGGCGAGUGUGCAUUGUGUGAGUCAUAGCAGCGGCUUAGCCCACAUCACCAAGCUGCUGCUCCUGGCAGCGUCCUUCCAGGCACAGCAAGGCGGAGGUUGGAUGCACGCAAAUGUUCCUGGGCAGAGGUGCUCUGUGAACCACCAGGGAUCAGACCAGACACUCUGCCGUCAACCACCCAAGGAAGCUGCUCGCACCAGCUCCCUCCCCUGCUCCUGCGCGUUCACUCGGGGUGGAGGGGUGGAAGAUCCAGGGGGAAUUUCCAACCUAAAACUCUCCGUCUGGGCCUGAAAUCCCCUGACUUCACAGGAGAACCAGCGGAGCGUUUGUGCUGCUGAAUGGACGGACAUUGCGGGUGUGGGUGUGAGAAGACACUCCCUCUUCAAAGCUCCCCCGAUCCUUGGGCCCUGCGUGCCCUCCCCCUGUCCACACCUGGCAGUGUUUUUAGAGUACACACCUGUGUCUGGUCAAUUUGGUGGUGUAUGUAUUCUUUUAAAAAAUGAUUGAGGGGCCGGUGCUGUGGCUCACUAGGUUAAUCCUCUGCCUGUGGCGCCGGCAUCCCAUAUGGGCGCCAGGUUCUAGUCCCAGUUACUCCUCUUCCAGUCCAGCUCUGCUGUGGCCCGGGAGGGCAGUGGAGGAUGGCUCAAGUGCUUGGGCCCCUGCACCCCCACAUGGGAGACCUGGAAGAGGCACCUGGCUCCACCGGAUGGAAGACCUUUCUCUCUUUCUCUCUCUCACUGUCUGUAACUCUACCUGUCAAAUAAAUAAAAAAUUCUUUUAAAAAUGAUUGAUUUAUUUUCAUCUUAUUUCAAAGGCAAAGAGAUGAGAGAGAGAGCAAGAGCGAGAGAGAGAGAGAGAGAGAGAGGUCUUCCAUUUAUUGGUUCACUCCCCAAAUGCCUGCAACAGCCAGAGCUGGGCUAUACUGCAAAAUCAAGUGGGCAUUGGGUGAGUCAGACUGUGUCUUUACUGGGCCAUCUCGUGCUGCCUUGCCAAGGUGCACAUGAGCAGAAGCUGGGAUUGAAAACAGGGCCUGGAGUUGAGCCCAGGCACUCAGAUACAGUAUGUGGGUGCCCCAAGUGGCGUCUUAACUGCUGAGCCCGAACGCCUUCCCCUGUGUGUGUUUCUGAUAACUCUCAGUUGACUCCCUUGGGUUGUGAUUUACUUGUCUGUGCUAAAAAGAAACUUUGAAAAAAUUAAGAGGGAGAGCCCCUCCCUGUCCUUGAGUCCCCACUUAGGCUAGGCAUUGUUCUAGGUGUUGAUUUAUGUCCACAUACUCUCUCUCUCUCACACACACACACACACAUCUAUGUGAGGGAACUUCAAAAAGUUCAUGGGAAAACCGAAUUAAAAAUAGGUUUGGAGGCUGGCAUUUUGAUGAGUAGGUAAAGUGACCACUUGCAAGACUAGCAUCCCAAGUCAGAGCGCCAGCCCUGCUGCUGUGCUCGGAUCCGCUCCCUGACACUGCGCCUGGGAAAGCAGCAGCAGGUGCUUGAAGUCCUUGGGCCCCUGCACCUGCGUGGGAGACCCAGAUGGAGCUCCUAGCUCUUGGCUUUGGCCUGGCUCAU